rnacentral:rRNA from 1 species
GACGAACCGUCCAAACGUUAUUCGGAAUUAUUGGGCUUAAAGGGUGCGUAGGCUGUGCAGUAAGUUGGGUGUGAAAUCCCUCGGCUCAACCGAGGAACUGCGCCGAAUACUGCUGUGCUAGAGGGAGAUAGGGGUAAGCGGAACUGAUGGUGGAGCGGUGAAAUGCGUUGAUAUCAUCAGGAACACCGGUGGCGAAGGCGGCUUACUGGAUCUCUUCUGACGCUGAUGCACGAAAAGCUAGGGGGAGCGAAACGGGG